AACUGUGAGAUGAUGACCUGGGCUGAAGUUGGAUGUUUAACCGACUGAGCCUGCCAGGCCCCCAUAAUAUACUGCCUUCUGCGGGCACACUGUCAACGGAUGUUAAAGCGGUGUUCAAAACUCACCACACAUGUGUCUUUACUAAUAAGUUUUGCUAAUUAACAUUCUAGGUUUGGAUAUGCUUUUGCACAAAAGUAUAAAUCUAUAAGGGAGAAACAGAUACGUUCUCUGGAAUUAGUUCAAUGGAGAUGGGAAUGCGAAGGGCUUAUGAAGGUUAUGAGUUGCAUUCCUUUGCUGUCCUGUGUGUUGGGUGUGCAUGCAUGCGCAUCUGGUGCCACGGACCUGCCUGAGGACUCGCCCUCACUUAGUCCAGUCAGCCUAAAGCUUGGCCUUUUCAUUUGGUUUCCUUUUCUAAUUGAUGUACCCUAGCCUGAAAAGUUCUCAGAGUUAAACAUGAGCUCUAUACCAUUGCAUCCUUUACCAUGGACAGUGGGAUUGCUAAUGCUAUUCAAUUCUUUGGAGCAGGGGACCUGCCUAUGACCAGGACUGCCAUGGCUAUGUCUCCAUGUGGCCAUUGUUGAAAUAAACCCAGUGAAGUCUUUUUCACUGGCUCCUUCAUUUUCACUUGAUCAGAUCCCUCUGGUUUUAUUUCCUGAGCCCAAAUGUAGCCCGGCAUUUGAUGGGUGCGGCCGACAGGAACUGCCUUUCUGCCACCUUUCCUUUCCUCUCGAGCCCGCUGCACUCUGGAACCUGCUCCUCAGCCCAGUGAACUAACUCUCGCCAAGGUCACCAAUGCUGUCUCACCUGACUGCCACAAUGACUGCAGGCCUUCGCCGACAUUCUCCCCGUAGCAGCGUGCUGUUCCCCACUCAAGGAAUAAAAAGAGUGCACACCCUUGGAGGGAAUGAAGAGCUAGCACUGCAUGGUGUCGCCAGUCACUGCUGGGAUAGGAGGGAUGGGCCCCCGAGAGGCCAAGGAGACCGUAACCAAUGGGGGGAACCACCGGAGGAACUCAGCACGCACAUGUUACUCAGGUUGGAAGCAAAAUUAAAACCUAGCACCACUGGUGGGUGCUAUGGAGGGGCUGGGGACUUGAGAAUGCCACCAUGGAGAAAGCCAGUCCCCCCAACAGAUGCAAGAGGGGCAAUGCAGAACUCAAAGGACAGAGCAGCAGAAGCAUGGACAGACUUGAGCUGACAGUUUUAGGUCCGUAAACUUUGCUUCUCAGAGCUGUGUUCAAAUUGGGGUGAGAGAUGGUGUGUGGAAAGGGGAGCUCGCUUCGGCAGCACAUAUACUGAAGAAAAAAGGGGAGGCCGGUGCUAGUGUCCAGUGAGAGGUGGUGCAGAUGGGGAUCAAAAUAACAUUUUGCAGUUGGCAUAUAGCUGCCGCCCUACCUCCUUCAAGCUCGUGUUAGAGGUGAGAAUAAUUCUGCCCUGAGAAGCAACAAAAAGAUGUGGGCACAGGACCCAAGGAUUCUGUUUGAAUAUAUCCCUAUGAUAAUAUAUCAUUUUUCAGUUUUAAGCCCAUUUCCAUUUUAUACCCUCAGAGGAUAUAACAAAUACUAUUUUUUCCAAUAUAUUUCACUUCCACCUCCCAAAAAACCAAAAACCAGACAAAAUUUCUGCUAGCUUUGCCCUUUGGAUGCUGAAGCUAGCUAGGCUCUAUCCUUUUCUCUGGUCUGCAGAUGAAGAGCAAAGCCACCACCCUCCCUGAACCCGAGGGCUGCACAUUACCCCCAAGUCUGAGGCACUAUCUCUGGGCAAGCCACCUGCACGGUAGCCAACUGAGAAAGGUAGGCAGGUAAGGCUUCCCACCACCACCGCCCCCCCCCCCUCCCUGCCACCUGAGCACCUGCGGCCAUCCCUGAGCACUCACGGCUGCCUCACUGCAGGCAGCAAAUAGUUGGCAUCUCAGGGAGAAGAGGGGACAGGGGCCGUGCUGUCUGUUGCAGGCUGAGGCUGCUUCCCUUGGUUCCACCUGAGCCUGAGAUGGGAAGGCAGUUUUUGUUUUAUUAUCCAUUUGCAUUUUACUUAGGGGAAGUGAUGUGUUAGAGAGAUGGGGUAAUGUACGCAUGCACCUUCCCAUUUAAUUUGACUGUAGGGCACCCCAAAAGGACACGCUCACUGCUCUGGUUGGACCUGGGAAAACCCAAAACUGCCUAAUCUGAAGUGAAGUGAGGGCAACAGGCAUCCUGCAUGUGACCAGUUCCACGGCAUAAACACACACACAUCUACACCAGUACAUACGCUGACACACGUACAGUACAAAUGCUGUGCACAGCUGUUUUCUAAUAUAGUUUACAAAAUAUAGAAUUUGGUAUAUUUGUUAGAUCUCCAAGGUUUUCAAUAAUACAAAAUAAAA